ACAAAUUGAAAAAAAAAAUUACUGAAGUAAACACAAGUAGUCCCAAGACAGAAAAUAAAAAAGGAGAGAAGAAAGAUAAAAAUUAAAUGAUAGAUAUUACAGAGAAAACCCAAGUGGAUGGGGCGAGCAACAGAUUUUGAUCUUCUCUUCUACUCUUUUGUUUUCCCCUUUUCCAUUGGAGAUAGAUUUCAAUCUAGGAGGGAAAAAAGCUAUUUCCUUUAUGCUUGGUGUGGGACAAAUUAGGUCAAAAAAUAAUAAUAAUAAAAUAAUAACAAAUAUGUAUAUCACUAAGGCACACCUUAGGUGCGCCUUGCGCCUGGUCGAAGAUUCUCAGGUGCUGAGGCUUUUAGCUGUAGAGGCACUGAGGUUUGCCCUUCAUGUGGGUUGCACCUAACAACUACGGCAUUGAAGUUAUUUGACGAAGUAGCUGUGAGAUGUUAUCUAAUUUUGAUGGGUGGUUUUGAGAAUGAAUUACAAAAUUUUGAAGAGA
rnacentral:misc_RNA from 1 species